CUACGGGUCGCUGCAGUGGGGAAUAUUGGACAAUGGGCGAAAGCCUGAUCCAGCCAUGCCGCGUGAGUGAUGAAGGCCUUAGGGUUGUAAAGCUCUUUUGUCCGGGAAGAUAAUGACUGUACCGGAAGAAUAAGCCCCGGCUAACUUCGUGCCAGCAGCCGCGGUAAUACGAAGGGGGCUAGCGUUGCUCGGAAUCACUGGGCGUAAAGGGCGCGUAGGCGGCCGAUCAAGUCAGGGGUGAAAGCCUGUGGCUCAACCACAGAAUUGCCUUUGAUACUGUUUGGCUAGAGACCGGAAGAGGUUAGUGGAACUGCGAGUGUAGAGGUGAAAUUCGUAGAUAUUCGCAAGAACACCAGUGGCGAAGGCGGCUAACUGGUCCGGUUCUGACGCUGAGGCGCGAAAGCGUGGGGAGCAAACAGGAUUAGAUACCCUUGUAGUC
rnacentral:rRNA from 1 species